rnacentral:rRNA from 1 species
UACGUAGGGUCCAAGCGUUAUCCGGAUUUACUGGGCGUAAAGAGUUGCGUAGGUGGCAUUGUAAGCGAGUAGUGAAAUCAUCCGGCUUAACCGGGUAUCCAUUAUUCGAACUGCAGCGCUAGAGGACAAGAGAGGUCACUGGAAUUCCUAGUGUAGGAGUGAAAUCCGUAGAUAUUAGGAGGAACACCGAUGGCGUAGGCAGGUGACUGGCUUGUUCCUGACACUAAGGCACGAAAGCGUGGGGAGCGAACGGG